GAGACGCUAGCGGCAGGCUUAAUACAUGCAAGUCGAGGGGUAAGGCUCAUUUCGGUGAGUACACGACCGGCGCACGGGUGCGUAACGCGUAUGCAACCUACCUUUAACAGGGGGAUAGCCCGAAGAAAUUCGGAUUAACACCCCAUAAUAUUGUUUUAUGGCAUCAUAGGACAAUUAAAACUCCGGUGGUUAAAGAUGGGCAUGCGUGACAUUAGCUGGUUGGUGAGGUAACGGCUCACCAAGGCGACGAUGUCUAGGGGUUCUGAGAGGAUGAUCCCCCACACUGGUACUGAGACACGGACCAGACUCCUACGGGAGGCAGCAGUGAGGAAUAUUGGGCAAUGGAGGCAACUCUGACCCAGCCAUGCCGCGUGCAGGAAGACUGCCCUAUGGGUUGUAAACUGCUUUUAUACGGGAAGAAACCCAACUACGUGUAGUUGGCUGACGGUACCGUAAGAAUAAGCACCGGCUAACUCCGUGCCAGCAGCCGCGGUAAAGCCGA
rnacentral:rRNA from 1 species